AGCGAACGCUGGCGGCAGGCCUAACACAUGCAAGUCGAACGAACCUUUCGGGGUUAGUGGCGGACGGGUGAGUAACACGUGGGAACGUGCCUUUAAGUUCGGCAUAACUCAGGGAACGUUUUCUUAAUACAGAAGGUGCCCUCCGGGGGAAAGAUUUAUCGCCUUUAGAGUGGCCCGGUAAGGAUUAGCUAGUUGGUUGAGGUAAGGUCUCACCAAGGCGACGAUCAGUAGCUGGUCUGAGAGGAUGAUCAGCCACAUUGGGACUGAGACACGGCCCAAACUCCUACGGGAGGAAGCAGUGGGGAAUCUUGCGCAAUGGGCGAAAGCCUGACGCAGCCAUGCCGCGGGAAUGAUGAAGGUCUUAGGAUUGUAAAAUUCUUUCACCGGGGACGAUAAUGACGGUACCCGGAGAAGAAGCCCCGGCUAACUUCGUG
rnacentral:rRNA from 1 species